AGUGAACGCUGGCGGUAGGCCUAACACAUGCAAGUCGAACGGCAGCACAGUAAGAGCUUGCUCUUACGGGUGGCGAGUGGCGGACGGGUGAGGAAUACAUCGGAAUCUACUUUUUCGUGGGGGAUAACGUAGGGAAACUUACGCUAAUACCGCAUACGACCUACGGGUGAAAGCAGGGGAUCUUCGGACCUUGCGCGAUUGAAUGAGCCGAUGUCGGAUUAGCUAGUUGGCGGGGUAAAGGCCCACCAAGGCGACGAUCCGUAGCUGGUCUGAGAGGAUGAUCAGCCACACUGGAACUGAGACACGGUCCAGACUCCUACGGGAGACAGCAGUGGGGAAUAUUGGACAAUGGGCGCAAGCCUGAUCCAGCCAUACUGCGUGGGUGAAGAAGGCCUUCGGGUUGUAAAGCCCUUUUGUUGGGAAAGAAAAGCAGCAGGUUAAUACCCCGCUGUUCUGACGGUACCCAAAGAAUAAGCACCGGCUAACUUCGUG
rnacentral:rRNA from 1 species